CGUAGGUGGCAAGCGUUGUCCGGAUUUAUUGGGUUUAAAGGGUGCGUAGGCGGCCCUGUAAGUCAGUGCUGAAAUAUCCCGGCUUAACCGGGAGGGUGGCAUUGAUACUGCAGGGCUUGAGUAAAGUUGAGGUUGGCGGAAUUGACGGUGUAGCGGUGAAAUGCUUAGAUAUCGUCAAGAACACCGAUAGUGUAGACAGCUAACUAAGCUUUAACUGACGCUGAGGCACGAAAGUGUGGGGAUCAAACAGGAUUAGAUACCCUGGUAGUCCACACUGUAAACGUUGAUGACUCGCUGUUGGCGAUAUACAGUCAGCGGCUUAGAGAAAUCGUUAAGUCAUCCACCUGGGGAGUACGCCGGCAGCAGUG
rnacentral:rRNA from 1 species